UGAGUUGAGGGAUGCUGUGCUUCUAGUGUUUGCAAACAAGCAAGAUCUUCCAAAUGCAAUGAAUGCUGCUGAGAUAACUGAUAAGCUUGGUCUUCACUCUCUUCGUCAGCGCCACUGGUAAGCUAACUUGUAGCUGUCAGAUGCCCUUAUCCAGCAAUCCACCAUUCUCAUGUUAACAGACUUGUUUAUAUCAUUCAUUGCAGGUAUAUCCAAAGCACAUGUGCCACUUCUGGUGAAGGGCUGUAUGAGGGAUUGGACUGGCUCUCAAACAACAUUGCAAACAAGGUAGAAUCAUGUGGUAUCUAUCUCUACAUUUGGAUUAUUCGAAUGUGAUGAUUGAUAAUUUGGUUAACUAAACUGUGCCUUUCUGACUGCAGGCUUAGAUGGCAUAACUCCCAUGUUCUCGAUUGCAAUGAGUGCUGGAAUACAGAGUCUAUAUUUGUUUUGUAUUCUGGAUUUUCCGCCAGCUCAUUUUGUCUGUACUUGUCUUAACAUGUUUGUGGUUGCUUUUGCAAACUUUUCCGUUUGUUUUCUGUAGCUUCAGAUUUUUUCAUUAAUUUUCGUUAUGUUCAUGAUGUUAUCUAAAUAGCAUGUUUUGUUUUUCAGAUAAUUUUUUAAGGUAAUGAAUCUUGAGACUUUUUCCUUUUAUCCUAAUUGUCCAGUGUUCCACUAAGUGAAAGUAUUUGCUGUGCCUAUGGAAUUUAGCACGAAUGUAUUUAAGCGGUCAGUCAACCUUGCAAGCAAAUGUAGGUAUCAGAAAAGGUGGAGCUGGCAGUAGAGGCAUCGCAAGUUGAGACUCGAGAGAGCAUUUUUAUUUGGUAAAAUUUUUGCAGAAAUCAUCGUUACUGUGCAAUUUAUUUUGAGCAGAGGUCCAGGGACCCACGGGAAAGAGAAGUAGCACAGUGUGUGGGUUCAUUUGACUAGAGAUUGAAAGGGCAUUACCCUCUUAAGAA
rnacentral:lncRNA from 1 species